CUAGUAUUCCAGUCUCCAAGUUUUAGAUUCCCCUAAAGUUAUACCACUGAGUGAAGUAAUACCUCCUUAUGAGCUUAUUUGCAUGGUGAUAGCAGUCUUUCUAUAUGUUUCUCCAUGUUAUUUCAUGUCUUGUAGGUAAAGACAUUUGGGGAGACACAUCCUUUCACCAAACUUGUGGUUGAUCUGACAGAUGUAGACCCUGAUGUAGCUUAUUCUUCAGUUCCCUAUGAGAAGGGCUUUGCUUUACUUUUUUACCUUGAGCAACUGCUUGGAGGACCAGAGAUUUUCCUAGGAUUCUUAAAAGCUUAUGUUGAGAAAUUUUCCUAUAAGAGCAUAACUACUGAUGACUGGAAGGAUUUCCUGUAUUCCUAUUUUAAAGAUAAGGUUGAUGUUCUCAAUCAAGUUGAUUGGAAUGCCUGGCUCUACUCUCCUGGACUGCCUCCCAUAAAACCCAACCUUACUAGAGAUUAUGAGGACCUGAAGUAAUACAAAGGCAGUGGAAAAGAAAGGAGUAACUGAGAGAAGAGACGUUUGGGGGCUAGAAUCUAUUGGCAACUGAUUGGCUGUGUUAUGAUAUGACUCUGACAAAUGCUUGUAUUGCCUUAAGUCAAAGAUGGAUUACUGCCAAAGAAGAUGAUUUAAAUUCAUUCAAUGCCACAGACCUGAAAGAUCUCUCUUCUCAUCAGUUGAAUGAGUUUUUAGCACAGACGCUCCAGACG
rnacentral:sRNA from 1 species